AAUACAUGCAAGUCGUACGCUUCGUGGUCCAACUGAUUUGAAGAGCUUGCUCAGAUAUGACGAUGGACAUUGCAAAGAGUGGCGAACGGGUGAGUAACACGUGGGAAACCUACCUCUUAGCAGGGGAUAACACUUGGAAACAAGUGCUAAUACCGUAUAACACUAAUAACCGCAUGGUUAUUAGUUAAAAGAUGGUCUUGCUAUCAGUAAGAGAUGGUCCCGCGGUGUAUUAGCUAGUUGGUAAGGUAAUGGCUUACCAAGGCAAUGAUACAUAGCCGAGUUGAGAGACUGAUCGGCCACAAUGGGACUGAGACACGGCCCAUACUCCUACGGGAGGCAGCAGUAGGGAAUCUUCCACAAUGGACGAAAGUCUGAUGGAGCAACGCCGCGUGUGUGAUGAAGGGUUUCGGCUCGUAAAACACUGUUGUAAGAGAAGAAUGACAUUGAGAGUAACUGUUCAGUGUGUGACGGUAUCUUACCAGAAAGGAACGGCUAAAUACGUGCCAGCAGCCGCGGUAAUACGUAUGUUCCAAGCGUUAUCCGGAUUUAUUGGGCGUAAAGCGAGCGCAGACGGUUAUUUAAGUCCGAAGUGAAAGCCCACAGCUUAACUGUGGAAGUGCU
rnacentral:rRNA from 1 species